CCUACGGGAGGCAGCAGUAGGGAAUAUUCGUCAAUGGACGAGAGUCUGAUGCAGCAACGUAGCGUGAAUGAUGACUGCCCUCUGGGUUGUAAGCUUCUUUUAUAAGGAAGUAAAACAGAGCAAGUAUCCCUUCUUGUAUGUACCUUAUGAAUAUAGAUAGUCUAACUCCGUGCCAGCAGCCGCGGUACUACGGAGGAUCCGAUCGUUCUCCGGAUUUAUUGGGUUUAAAGGGAGCGUAGAUGGGUUGUUAAGUCAGUUGUGAAAGUUUGCGGCUCAACCGGAAAAUUGCAAUUGAUACUGGUAGUCUUGAGUACAGUAGAGGUGGGCGGAAUUCGAGGUGUAGCGGUGAAAUGCUUAGAUAUCACGAAGAACACCGAUUGCGAAGGCAGCUCACUGGACUGCAACUGACACUGAGGCUCGAAAGUGUGGGUAGCAAACAGGAUUAGAUACCCGUGUAGUC
rnacentral:rRNA from 1 species